CCUACGGGUGGCAGCAGUGAGGAAUAUUGGUCAAUGGUCGGGAGACUGAACCAGCCAAGCCGCGUGAGGGAUGAAGGUACAGAGUAUCGUAAACCUCUUUUGUCAGGGAACAAAGGCGGGGACGUGUCCCCGGAUGAGUGUACCUGAAGAAAAAGCAUCGGCUAACUCCGUGCCAGCAGCCGCGGUAAUACGGAGGAUGCGAGCGUUAUCCGGAUUUAUUGGGUUUAAAGGGUGUGCAGGCGGUCUGUUAAGUCAGCGGUAAAAGCCCGGGGGUCAACCCCGGCCCGCCGUUGAAACUGGCAGUCUCGAGUGGGAGAGAAGUAUGCGGAAUGCGCGGUGUAGCGGUGAAAUGCAUAGAUAUCGCGCAGAACUCCGAUGGAGAAGGCAGCAUGCCGGCUCCACACUGACGCUGAGGCACGAAAGCGUGGGUAUCGAACAGGAUUAGAUACCCUUGUAGUC
rnacentral:rRNA from 1 species